GUUUUGUCAGAUCACAUGACAUUUUCGUGUCUUGGGUAGCAGUGAUGUGUUGCUAGAUACCGCUCACUGUUUAUUAUGUUAAAUGCGUGAUUUAAUAUAAUUGCCAACGUCACGAAAACCUACAGGGUCACACACAAAGGACGGAUUGAUGAGAGAUAGAGUAACUAAGGAAUACCGUAAGGUACGGUGCCCUUAAGUGGAUUAUAGAACAUCG
rnacentral:lncRNA from 1 species